rnacentral:siRNA from 1 species
UCGAAAAGGGUUUGCUCGAAA